rnacentral:rRNA from 1 species
CCUAAGGUAGCGAAAUUCCUUGUCGGGUAAGUUCCGACCUGCACGAAUGGCGUAACGACUUCCCCACUGUCUCGACCAGGAGCUCGGCGAAAUUGCAGUACGAGUAAAGAUGCUCGUUAAGCGCAGAAGGACGAAAAGACCCCGGGACCUUUACUAUACCUUGGUAUUGGCAUUCGGUGUGGAUUGUGUAGCAUAGGCGGGAGGCCGAGAGGCGCGGUCGCCAGAUCGCGCGGAGCCGUAAGGUGAAAUACCGCUCUGUUCUCGUUUGAUGUCUAACCUCGAACAGUCAUCCUGUUCAGGGACAGUGCCUGGCGGGUAGUUCAACUGGGGCGGUUGCCUCCCAAAGAGUAACGGAGGCGCUCAAAGGUCCGCUCGGCCCGGUUGGCAAUCGGGUGUCGAGUGUAAUCGCACAAGCGGGCUUGACUGCGAGAUCGACGGAUCGAGCAGGGACGAAAGUCGGAGAUAGUGAUCCGGUGCCGGCGCACGGGCGCGGCAUCGCUCAACGGAUAAAAGGUACCCCGGGGAUAACAGGCUGAUCAUUCCCAAGAGUCCAUAUCGACGGGAUGGUUUGGCACCUCGAUGUCGGCUCGUCGCAUCCUGGGGCUGGAGCAGGUCCCAAGGGUUCGGCUGUUCGCCGAUCAAAGCGGCACGCGAGCUGGGUUCAGAACGUCGUGAGACAGUUUGGUCUCUAUCCUCUGCGCUCGUUGGAAUCUUGAGGAGGCCUGCCCAUAGUACGAGAGGACCUGGGUGGACGAACCUCUGGUAUGCCGGUUGUCACGCCAGUGGCACGGCCGGUUGGCUACGUUCGGAAGGGAUAACCGCUGAAAGCAUCUAAGCGGGAAGCCUGCUCCAAGAUUAGGAUUCCUUGGCACUUCGGUGCCUGUAGCCCGCAUGUUGAACACGUGUUCGAUAGGCCGGAGGUGGAAGCCCCGCGAGGGGUGGAGCCGACCGGUACUAACGGACGAAAGGCAACACAAU